rnacentral:rRNA from 1 species
GACGAACGCUGGCGGCAUGCCUAACACAUGCAAGUCGAACGAGACCUUCGGGUCUAGUGGCGCACGGGUGCGUAACGCGUGGGAACCUGCCCUUAGGUUCGGAAUAACUCCCCGAAAGGGGUGCUAAUACCGGAUAAUGUCUUCGGACCAAAGAUUUAUCGCCUUUGGAUGGGCCCGCGUUGGAUUAGCUAGUUGGUAGGGUAAAAGCCUACCAAGGCGACGAUCCAUAGCUGGUCUGAGAGGAUGAUCAGCCACACUGGGACUGAGACACGGCCCAGACUCCUACGGGAGGCAGCAGUGGGGAAUAUUGGACAAUGGGCGAAAGCCUGAUCCAGCAAUGCCGCGUGAGUGAUGAAGGCCUUAGGGUUGCAAAGCUCUUUUACCCGGGAUGAUAAUGACAGUACCGGGAGAAUAAGCUCCGGCUAACUCCGUG